rnacentral:rRNA from 1 species
UACGUAGGGUGCAAGCGUAAUCGGAAUUACUGGGCGUAAAGCGUGCGCAGGCGGUUCUAUAAGACAGAUGUGAAAUCCCCGGGCUCAACCUGGGAACUGCAUUUGUGACUGUAGAGCUGGAGUGCGGCAGAGGGGGAUGGAAUUCCGCGUGUAGCAGUGAAAUGCGUAGAUAUGCGGAGGAACACCGAUGGCGAAGGCAAUCCCCUGGGCCUGCACUGACGCUCAUGCACGAAAGCGUGGGGAGCAAACAGG